ensembl:lncRNA
UAUGGAUCGGUAAGAGGGAAACUUUCCAGAUUUCCUGGGCCAGUGUGCAUUAAACUAAGAACUUGUUUCUGCAACCAACAGCAGUGCAACAACAAGUAAUUUGUACUGUGCAUGGCAGGGAAAGGAGACUUAUUUAACUUUUUGUGAAUGAUCAAAUUCAGAUUUAUUAACUGGAUCUGGGACAUCACCUCCCAGGUCACUGGGAGUCACUAUGGCAGUGACACAGUGAAUAUCAAACAGACAGCCUUAGAUGUUCAUUGGAAGGUUUGCAGUUUUCAAAUUUUGAGAUUUGUACACAUUUGCAGAAGAUGCUUCAGUCAAAAUCGUUGCUAUCUUAAAUUUGCUGCAGUAUUUACUUUUUGUGGGGUUUGUUUGCAGCCUUAUAUCUUUUUUUGUUUGUUUGUUUGUUUGUUUGUUUGUUUUUUGCUUGGUUUGUUUUCAAGAAAUUCGUAAGAAGAAGGAAUACUGUGACUAAUUUUGCUCCGUCUCACACUUUCGUUGUCGCUUGCUCCGCUCUGCUCAGGUCAGGACAGCAAGCAUCAAGGCUUUGGUGAGAGUAGCAUUGCUUCAAAUGUGGUGUGAGCAGGUAAAAAAAUAAGCGUCGUCAAUUAUUUUACUGGUAAAUGCAGUCAAAAGUGUGGCAUUUACUGCAACUAUUGGCAAAGCCAGUGGUUUUUGGACCUGUUAUUAAUACAACUGGCUGAAUUUCACUGGCAUGAAAUGAUAUUUGGUAGCCUUUUGUCACUGCUAGACCUCUCAGUGUAAACACGUCCUGCACAUCGUUGAGAGAAAUUUGAGCUGUGUUUGGCAGUACUGCGAAACUGUGCUCUUAAAAAAUGCCACUAAUUCUUUUAACGUUUGGAAAAACCCAUUACUUACAUAUGAAGUGUUCAGUGCGUCAUCUGAUGAGUCAGAUGUACACAUAUCAGCUGUGAGGGCUUGAAAUGUGAUGCAGCAUGUGAAAACCAGGCUAAAUGUUCAUCUCUAACAUUUUUAUGUGCAGAUUUAUCGUUUAUUUUUUAACUCGCAGAUGUUAACUUACAACAUCUGUCCCUUGAAUUAUUGUAUGUUAGAAACAAUGUAAGUAGAAAUACUCAAUCUUAACACAUUCAUCAAUAAUGAAACUUCUGAUUUAAAAAAAUCCUCUAGGUUUACAA